UUUUAGCAAUUUUACCUGCGCUAUUCUCUUUGCCUAAUUCAGUCUCCUCCCAACUCAGCGCCAGAAAGAGAGAGUCCCGCUUCUAGACGGUGCAGCUUUCAGUCAGCCGGUUUGCCGUCUCUCCGAUAUUCUUUUAAAUCUAUAUAGUCUUUAUUGUACUCGUUCGUUUUGUCCAAGAGAAGUCGACAGAUCCGACUACCUUUUUGCUCACCGCAGCAUCUUCUCUCAGAUCUGACGACAACUCGGUAAAGAGGAAAAGUUGUGAAAGUUAAAUCAACGGUAGAUAUGGCGCCGAGCACAAUUCGGAAAGCGAUCGGAGCUGUUAAAGACCAGACUAGCAUAGGCAUAGCUAAGGUAGCGAGCAACAUGGCUCCAGACCUCGAAGUUGCAAUUGUCAAAGCCACGAGCCACGACGACGACCCAGCCGAUGAGAAAUACAUUCGCGAGAUCCUCAACUUAACCUCUUACUCACGUGGCUACGUUCACGCUUGUGUGUCGACCGUUUCAAAGCGUCUGGGCAAGACACGUGACUGGAUUGUGGCACUAAAGGCUCUGAUGCUUAUACACAGGCUAUUAAACGAUGGGGACCCGAUAUUUCAAGAGGAGAUCUUGUAUGCAACAAGAAGAGGAACAAGGGUCUUGAAUAUGUCGGAUUUUAGAGAUGAAGCUCAUUCGAGCUCGUGGGACCACUCAGCUUUUGUGAGAACUUAUGCCAUGUAUUUAGAUCAAAGACUUGAACUUGUUUUGUUUGAUAGGAAGGGCGGUUCUAAUUCUGUUUCAGGUUCUGGUAGUCAUCAUAAUGGAUUUGGAUCUAGAUAUGGGGAUGAUUUUCGGUCUCCCCCUCCCAGACUGAAUGAGUAUGAUUAUGGAGACUCUAGAGGCAACAGUGGUUAUGGCAAUUAUGGAAUGACCAGGAGAUCAAGAUCGUAUGGAGAUAUGAGCGAGGCUGCUGGGCGGGAAGAGAAAAAAGGUGUAGUGACUCCAUUGAGAGAAAUGAAGCCUGAGAGGAUAUUUGGAAAAAUGGGGCAUUUGCAGAGACUGCUUGAUAGGUUCCUGUCAUGCAGGCCCACGGGUCUGGCUAAGAAUAAUAGGAUGAUUUUGAUUACGUUGUAUCUGAUGGUGAAAGAGAGUUUUCAGAUUUAUUCAGAUAUUUGUGAAGUUUUGGCUGUGUUGCUUGAUAAGUUUUUUGAUAUGGAGUAUACAGACUGUGUUAAGGCCUUUGAUGCAUAUGCGAGUGCUGCAAAGCAGAUUGAUAAGCUGAUUGCUUUUUAUAAUUGGUGCAAGGAUACUGGUGUGGCGAGGUCCUCUGAGUAUCCAGAUGUUCAGAGGAUUACAAGCAAGUUAUUAGAGACUUUGGAAGAGUUUUUGAGGGAUAGAGCCAAUAGGCCCAAGAGUCCAGAGAGGAAAGAAUUGGAUGCUACUCCACGGGAGGAACCGGUACUGGAUAUGAAUGAGAUAAAGGCAUUGCCUCCUCCAGAGAAUUACACUCCUCCACCACCACUUGAACCAGAGCCUGAACCUGAACCUGAGCCUCCGAAACCACAAGUGACUGAAGAUUUAGUGAAUUUGAGGGAUGAUACAGUUACGGCCGAUGAUCAGGGGAAUAAGUUGGCAUUGGCUUUGUUUAAUGGGCCUGCGGCUGAUGGUAAUGGAUCAUGGGAAGCAUUUCCAUCAAAUGGGGAGCAGGUUACCUCGGCUUGGCAAACCCCUGCUGCUGAACCUGGCAAGGCAGAUUGGGAAUUGGCAUUGGUUGAGUCUGCCAGCAACUUGUCAAGACAGAAAGCAGCAUUGGGUGGUGGGUUUGAUCCAUUGCUGUUGAAUGGCAUGUAUGAUCAAGGAAUGGUGAGGCAGCAUGUGAGCACUUCUCAUUUGAGUGGUGGAAGUGCAAGUAGUGUUGCAUUGCCAGGGCCAGGGAAGACUUCAACACCAGUUUUGGCUCUCCCGGCUCCAGACAGAACGGUUCAGACAGUUAAUCAGGACCCAUUUGCUGCAUCAUUGAGCAUUCCACCCCCUUCAUAUGUGCAAAUGUCUGAUAUAGAGAAGAAACAGCACUUGCUUGUACAAGAGCAGCUGGUAUGGCAGCAGUAUGCAAGGGAUGGAAUGCAGGGCCAAGCUAGUUUAGCCAAGAUCACCGGUACUGGAUACUACAGUGCAGGUCCUAUGACUGUGAUGCCUUAUGGAAUGCCACCAGUAAAUGGGAUCGGACCACCAGCAGGGAUUCCCUACUCAUGAAAGCUGUUGGAAUAACCUUGAAAUGACCACACAUUGUUUUUGAGAAGUGGCCACUGGAUUCUCAGUCCAUUAAAUUUUUUGCCUCUAUUUAAAACUAAAGAAUGGCAGAAGUUGGUUCACCCAAGUUCUUUGUGUCCAAGAACCAAAAAUAAACUAGGGAUGAGAACCAGGAAACAUUUUUUUAAGGGGGUGGGGGUGAUGAAAAAGGUAUAGCUAUGAUGAACAAUGAACCUAUGCAUGAAAAUGUGUUAGCUUUUUCUUUUUUUCUUUCUUUUGGUUGAAUGAUCAACAAUAAGCAACCUUCUACCUUUUCAAUGGUACCCGAGGGAGGCAGUCUGAAUUGUUAUAUUGGCGAAAAAGGUUCUAGAUUGAUAUGAAAUUCAUAUCUUACACUUGAUAUGGAAUCAUAGAUAAUCUACAUCAUUUCCUUAAAUGUCGUCAAAAACGCAUUUAUAUUUUAUAUAGUCUAAGGUAAUUAUGAAAAAGACAGAUGAUUUCAUAGUCGAGUUGUUUGGAGAACAACUAGGUAAUACUGAAUUUUAAAUUAUAGAUAGGAUGGCCUAAGGUGUUUGUCAAUGUCAUUGAAAGCUCAACUUCAGCUCUGCGCGAGUUGUGUGGGUGUGGGACUCAGAGCAGAGCAGAGCAGAGCAGUUGAUCUGUCCCACCAAUUUCAGCUUUGGGGGGCUAUUUAUAUAACAAAGCAUAGCAUUGAAUUUUAUAAGUGAGUAUUAUAGGCCUAAAUGCAGAGGAGUGUGUAACAUGAUGUAGGGUUGGAAAUGGGUUUAAGAUCAACAAAUUAAGACUUGAGUUGAAAGUGAAGUGAUGUAAAUCAAUUUGUUUUAUGAAAAUGAAUCUAAUAAUUAAUUUAAUUUAAA